UACCAGAGCCAUGUCACCCUGAAGCUCUCACCUGGUUCCCCACUGAAGAUAAGCAGGGUUGAGCCUGGCCAGUACCUGGAUGGGAGACCUCCUGGGGAAAACUAAGGUUGCUGACGGAA
rnacentral:rRNA from 1 species